CAGUCAGUGGGUCUUUGACUGUGGUCAGGAGCCUACAGAAAUCCCUGGCCUUCGAGAGCUUACCGGGGUGAGGGGCUGAGGCCUGUUCGCCAUAGUGGGCCUGGCACCGCUGCACCAAGAGCCGAUCAUCGGAUGUUCAUUCAUCUGGAUCUUCAGAUGCUCAUAUGGACGCAUCUGGACCCUCAGAUAGCGAUAUGCCAAGUCGAACACGACCUAAAAGCCCAAGAAAACACAAUUAUAGGAAUGAAAGUGGCCGUGAAAGCCUUUGCGAUUCUCCUCAUCAGAAUCUCUCAAGACCUCUUCUAGAAAACAAGCUUAAAGCAUUCAGUAUUGGAAAAAUGAGCACAGCAAAGCGAACUCUAAGUAAGAAGGAACAAGAGGAACUGAAGAAAAAGGAGGAUGAAAAGGCAGCUGCUGAAAUUUAUGAGGAAUUUCUUGCUGCUUUUGAAGGAAGUGAUGGUAAUAAGGUGAAAACGUUUGUUCGAGG
rnacentral:lncRNA from 1 species